CAGCCGCCGCGGUAAUACGUAGGUCCCGAGCGUUGUCCGGAUUUAUUGGGCGUAAAGCGAGCGCAGGCGGUUAGAUAAGUCUGAAGUUAAAGGCUGUGGCUUAACCAUAGUACGCUUUGGAAACUGUUUAACUUGAGUGCAAGAGGGGAGAGUGGAAUUCCAUGUGUAGCGGUGAAAUGCGUAGAUAUAUGGAGGAACACUGGUGGCGAAAGCGGCUCUCUGGCUUGUAACUGACGCUGAGGCUCGAAAGCGUGGGGCGCAAACAGGAUUAGAUACCCCCGUAGUCCCUGUCUCUUAUACA
rnacentral:rRNA from 1 species